rnacentral:rRNA from 1 species
UACGUAGGGUGCAAGCGUUGUCCGGAAUUAUUGGGCGUAAAGAGCUCGUAGGCGGCUUGUCGCGUCGACUGUGAAAACCCGCGGCUUAACUGCGGGACUGCAGUCGAUACGGGCAGGCUAGAGUUCGGUAGGGGAGACUGGAAUUCCUGGUGUAGCGGUGAAAUGCGCAGAUAUCAGGAGGAACACCGGUGGCGAAGGCGGGUCUCUGGGCCGAUACUGACGCUGAGGAGCGAAAGCGUGGGGAGCGAACAGG